rnacentral:rRNA from 1 species
GCAAGUCGAGCGCAUCCUUCGGGAUGAGCGGCGGACGGGCUAGUAACGCGUGGGAACGUGCCCUUCUCUAAGGAAUAGCCACUGGAAACGGUGAGUAAUACCUUAUACGCCCGUCGGGGGAAAGAUUUAUCGGAUCAGGAUCGGCCCGCGUUAGAUUAGAUAGUUGGUGGGGUAAUGGCCUACCAAGUCUACGAUCUAUAGCUGGUUUGAGAGGAUGAUC